rnacentral:rRNA from 1 species
UACGAACUGUGCGAACGUUAUUCGGAAUCACUGGGCUUACAGGGUGCGUAGGCGGCUUUUCAAGUCAGGUGUGAAAGCCCCCGGCUCAACCGGGGAAUUGCGCUUGAAACUGAAGAGCUCGAGUCAGCUAGAGGUGCACGGAACUUCCAGUGGAGCGGUGAAAUGUGUUGAUAUUGGAAGGAACACCAGAGGCGUAAGCGGUGCACUGGGGCUGGUCUGACGCUGAGGCACGAAAGCCAGGGGAGCGAACGGG